rnacentral:rRNA from 1 species
UUUAUGGAGAGUUUGAUCCUGGCUCAGGAUGAACGCUGGCGGCGUGCCUAAUACAUGCAAGUCGAGCGAACGGACGAGAAGCUUGCUUCUCUGAUGUUAGCGGCGGACGGGUGAGUAACACGUGGAUAACCUACCUAUAAGACUGGGAUAACUUCGGGAAACCGGAGCUAAUACCGGAUAAUAUUUUGAACCGCAUGGUUCAAAAGUGAAAGACGGUCUUGCUGUCACUUAUAGAUGGAUCCGCGCUGCAUUAGCUAGUUGGUAAGGUAACGGCUUACCAAGGCAAUGAUGCAUAGCCGACCUGAGAGGGUGAUCGGCCACACUGGAACUGAGACACGGUCCAGACUCCUACGGGAGGCAGCAGUAGGGAAUCUUCCGCAAUGGGCGAAAGCCUGACGGAGCAACGCCGCGUGAGUGAUGAAGGUCUUCGGAUCGUAAAACUCUGUUAUUAGGGAAGAACAUAUGUGUAAGUAACUGUGCACAUCUUGACGGUACCUAAUCAGAAAGCCACGGCUAACUACGUGCCAGCAGCCGCGGUAAUACGUAGGUGGCAAGCGUUAUCCGGAAUUAUUGGGCGUAAAGCGCGCGUAGGCGGUUUUUUAAGUCUGAUGUGAAAGCCCACGGCUCAACCGUGGAGGGUCAUUGGAAACUGGAAAACUUGAGUGCAGAAGAGGAAAGUGGAAUUCCAUGUGUAGCGGUGAAAUGCGCAGAGAUAUGGAGGAACACCAGUGGCGAAGGCGACUUUCUGGUCUGUAACUGACGCUGAUGUGCGAAAGCGUGGGGAUCAAACAGGAUUAGAUACCCUGGUAGUCCACGCCGUAAACGAUGAGUGCUAAGUGUUAGGGGGUUUCCGCCCCUUAGUGCUGCAGCUAACGCAUUAAGCACUCCGCCUGGGGAGUACGACCGCAAGGUUGAAACUCAAAGGAAUUGACGGGGACCCGCACAAGCGGUGGAGCAUGUGGUUUAAUUCGAAGCAACGCGAAGAACCUUACCAAAUCUUGACAUCCUUUGACAACUCUAGAGAUAGAGCCUUCCCCUUCGGGGGACAAAGUGACAGGUGGUGCAUGGUUGUCGUCAGCUCGUGUCGUGAGAUGUUGGGUUAAGUCCCGCAACGAGCGCAACCCUUAAGCUUAGUUGCCAUCAUUAAGUUGGGCACUCUAAGUUGACUGCCGGUGACAAACCGGAGGAAGGUGGGGAUGACGUCAAAUCAUCAUGCCCCUUAUGAUUUGGGCUACACACGUGCUACAAUGGACAAUACAAAGGGCAGCGAAACCGCGAGGUCAAGCAAAUCCCAUAAAGUUGUUCUCAGUUCGGAUUGUAGUCUGCAACUCGACUACAUGAAGCUGGAAUCGCUAGUAAUCGUAGAUCAGCAUGCUACGGUGAAUACGUUCCCGGGUCUUGUACACACCGCCCGUCACACCACGAGAGUUUGUAACACCCGAAGCCGGUGGAGUAACCUUUUAGGAGCUAGCCGUCGAAGGUGGGACAAAUGAUUGGGGUGAAGUCGUAACAAGGUAGCCGUAUCGGAAGGUGCGGCUGGAUCACCUCCUUU